rnacentral:misc_RNA from 1 species
AAGGAUCAUUAACGAGUUAGGGUCUUCUAGGCCCGACCUCCCAACCCUAUGUUUACUGUACCAUUGUUGCUUCGGUGGGUCCGUCUAACGACCGCCGGGGGACCGCCGCGAGGCCCCCCUGGCCAGCACCCGCCGAUAGCCAAAUUUAAACCCUUAUGAAUCGUGUCUUAUGUCUAAAUCAUGAUUAAAAAUCAAAACAAAACUUUCAACAACGGAUCUCUUGGUUCUG